UACGUAGGCAGCAAGCGUUGUUCGGAAUUACUGGGCGUAAAGAGUGUGUAGGCGGUUUUCUAAGUUUGGUGUGAAAUCUCCCGGCUUAACUGGGAGGGUGCGCCGAAAACUGGAAGGCUUGAGUGCCGGAGAGGAUAGCGGGAUUCCCGGUGUAGCGGUGAAAUGCGUAGAUAUCGGGAGGAACACCUGUGGUGUAGACGGCUAUCUGGACGGCGACUGACGCUGAGACGCGAAAGCGUGGGGAGCGAACAGG
rnacentral:rRNA from 1 species